rnacentral:rRNA from 1 species
CAGCAGCCGCGGUAAUACGUAGGGUGCGAGCGUUAAUCGGAAUUACUGGGCGUAAAGCGUGCGCAGGCGGUGAUGUAAGACAGAUGUGAAAUCCCCGGGCUCAACCUGGGAACUGCAUUAGUGACUGCAUCGCUGGAGUGCGGCAGAGGGGGAUGGAAUUCCGCGUGUAGCAGUGAAAUGCGUAGAUAUGCGGAGGAACACCGAUGGCGAAGGCAAUCCCCUGGGCCUGCACUGACGCUCACGCACGAAAGCGUGGGGAGCAAACAGGAUUAGAUACCCCAGUAGUCCCUGUCUCUUAUAC